rnacentral:lncRNA from 1 species
UAUACUGUCAUCUAUGUAAACUUCUAAGUGUCAAUAUUUUGUCAUGAAAAAAUAACGAUGCAGAAGUGGAGUGAAACGAAGAACACAAUAGUACCAUGGCGAUGGUUUGGAAUGUGCUGUAUGGAACCUUGUUCCCUUUUUCUCCUCUUACCCUCUCUAUCACGUUCCUUAGGAUCUACAUGAUGUGGGGUUUGCGUACCUUGAUCAUAUUGAAAUGACAUAAUGAGUGACCAUAGUACAUCACGACCCAAAUGUCCAAUUGUAUCCUUACCUUGGAUUAUUAUGUUUGUGAGUUCUUUAAAAGGUUCCAUAGACCGACUUGACCCUUCCAACAAAGCGAUAGUCCCUGC